ensembl:snRNA U6 U6 spliceosomal RNA
GUGCUCUUUUCGGUAGCACAUGUACUAAAAUUGGAACGAUACAGUGAAGAUUAGCAUGGCCCCUGCGCAAAGAUAACAUGCAAAUUCGUGAUGCAUCCCAUAUUCUU